GACGAACGCUGGCGGCGUGCUUAACACAUGCAAGUCGAACGCUGAAGCUUGGUGCUUGCCCUGGGUGGAUGAGUGGCGAACGGGUGAGUAAUAAGUGAGUAACCUGCCCUUGACUCUGGGAUAAGCCUGGGAAACUGGGUCUAAUACUGGAUACGACAUGUCACCGCAUGGUGGUGUGUGGAAAGGGUUUUACUGGUUUUGGAUGGGCUCACGGCCUAUCAGCUUGUUGGUGGGGUAAUGGCUCACCAAGGCGACGACGGGUAGCCGGCCUGAGAGGGUGACCGGCCACACUGGGACUGAGACACGGCCCAGACUCCUACGGGAGGCAGCAGUGGGGAAUAUUGCACAAUGGGCGGAAGCCUGAUGCAGCGACGCCGCGUGAGGGAUGACGGCCUUCGGGUUGUAAACCUCUUUCAGCACGGAAGAAGCGAAAGUGACGGUACGUGCAGAAGAAGCGCCGGCUAACUACGUG
rnacentral:rRNA from 1 species